UGCACCGUAUGAGAGCCUCAACUGUUGCA
rnacentral:piRNA from 1 species